rnacentral:rRNA from 1 species
UAUAGUCUUUAAAGUUAAAAAAUUUGGCGGUAUUUUAAUCUAUCCAGAGGAACCUGUCCUGUAAUUGAUAUUCCACGAUUAAAUUGACUUAUAUUAAAAAUUUACAUAUCGUCGUAGUUGAAUAUUUUAAAAGAAAUUUAAUAUUCAAGAUUUCUUAUUAGAAAGUAAAUCAGAUCAAGGUGUAGUUUAUAUGUAAGGAGAGAUGGGUUACAAAAAAGUUAAUUAUGGAUAAUUUUUUUAAAAAAAAUUUAAAAUUGGAUUUGGAAGUAAUUUAGUUUAUUUUG